GACGAACGCUGGCGGCGUGCUUAACACAUGCAAGUCGAACGGAAAGGCCCUGCUUUUGUGGGGUGCUCGAGUGGCGACCGGGUGAGUAACACGUGAGUAACCUGCCCUUGACUUUGGGAUAACUUCAGGAAACUGGGGCUAAUACCGGCUAGGAGCUCCUGCUGCAUGGUGGGGGUUGGAUAGUUUCGGCGGUUGGGGAUGGACUCGCGGCUUAUCAGCUUGUUGGUGGGGUAGUGGCUUACCAAGGCUUUGACGGGUAGCCGGCCUGAGAGGGUGACCGGCCACAUUGGGACGGAGAUACGGCCCAGACUCCUACGGGAGGCAGCAGUGGGGAAUAUUGCACAAUGGGCGGAAGCCUGAUGCAGCAACGCCGCGUGCGGGAUGACGGCCUUCGGUUUGUAAACCGCUUUCGCCUGUGACGAAGCGUGAGUGACGGUAAUGGGUAAAGAAGCACCGGCUAACUACGUG
rnacentral:rRNA from 1 species